rnacentral:miRNA from 1 species
UGGCAACAUGUGUUGAUUGCAAUGGUAGCUAUUUUGAUUAAUAAAGAUGUGUCUGAGCCUGGGUAUACAGAUCUAAAAUUCAUGGUCCAAACCUGCAAUUACUUUUGCACCAAC